rnacentral:lncRNA from 1 species
ACUGGGGGACUUCAGCUCCUGAAUAUUUCACAAGUGUGUCUCUGUUCUGCAACACAGCCAGAGCCACCUUCAGAGAAAAGGAACAUAGCAAGAAGGCAGAAACAGAGCCCUCAUCAGACACAACAUGCUGGCACCUUAAUAUUGGAAUUCUGGCCUCCAGGACUAUGAGAAGAUACAGUUUUAGAUCGUGAACUCUUCUUUAGUGGGAUUAUUUGAGAACAUUGCAUGGCCUAGGAAGAGGAGAGUCCCUCAGAGAGGCUCUGCCUUUAUUUUCAUCAUAAAUACAAAAGGUCAGGUUCUCCAGAAGCAGAUGCAGAAAUAACAUCUAGAGUGUGGGGUGUUGAUUAAGGAUGAAUUUCUGUGAGCAGAAGAGAAAAAAGAGGAGAUAGAGGAAGAAGGUGAACUUCCUCGUGGGAACAACCAUGCCUCAGUAACCCCAGGAUCUCCGGAGGGAGGACUGGACAAAUCACACCUAACAGCGUGUCCUGUGUCACAGUAAAAUGGGCAGGUGUUUAUUGCCACUUGGCUCAGUCACAAAAUGCCUUGGCCCUGGGAAGGACAGGAGAACUGCAGGCAGAGCAGUUCUCUGCAGGGCGGGUGGAAGCUGAAGGAGCUGACAGCCAAAUGCUGUUUACAGACCACACUCCCUACUCCUGGGCAGGCAAGUCUGGACUUCAAGGGGAAGGUCAGCGACUCAGCCUCUUAUGACUUCCACACUUCCUUGCAGGUAUGACUUUGCAUCAGCUGGUCAUAAACACCCCUCACAAUGAUGAAAGCAAUGGACUCUGUCUCUGAAGAGAAAUGUGUGAGUGCCCACUGAUAAGUAUGUCACCAACAACUUCAAAAAUUGUUCAUAAGUGUUCCAAAACCCGCCCACAAGUUUUUACAGUGGAUAAACCUAAUUAGGGUUAACUUGACAUUGAAUUUUAUUUUCUU